rnacentral:rRNA from 1 species
AACGAACGCUGGCGGCAUGCCUAACACAUGCAAGUCGAACGAGACCUUCGGGUCUAGUGGCGCACGGGUGCGUAACGCGUGGGAAGCUGCCCUUAGGUUCGGAAUAACUCCCCGAAAGGGAUGCUAAUACCGGAUAAUGUCUUCGGACCAAAGAUUUAUCGCCUUUGGAUGGGCCCGCGUUAGAUUAGCUAGUUGGUAGGGGAAAAGCCUACCAAGGCGACGAUCCAGAGCUGGUCUGAGAGGAUGACCAGCCACACUUGGAAUGAGACACGGCCCAGACUCCUACGGGAGGCAGCAGUGUGGAAUAUUGGACAAUGGGCGAAAGCCUGAUCCAGCAAUGCCGCGUGAGUCAUGAAGGCCGUAGGGUUGUAAAGCUCUUUUACACGGGAUGAUAAUGACAGUACCGGGAGAAUAAGCUCCGGCUAACUCCGUG